UACGGAGGGUGCGAGCGUUGUCCGGAAUCACUGGGCGUAAAGGGUGCGCAGGCGGCCGUGUGUGUGAGGCGUGAAAGCCCGGGGCUCAACCCCGGAAUUGCACCUUAAACUACAUGGCUAGAGCAUUGGAGAGGGUAGCGGAAUUCACGGUGUAGCAGUGAAAUGCGUAGAUAUCGUGAGGAACACCAGAGGCGAAGGCGGCUACCUGGACAAUUGCUGACGCUCAGGCACGAAAGCGUGGGGAGCAAAAGGG
rnacentral:rRNA from 1 species